GCUACCUCCAGGUAAGUUAUUGUCUCCUGUUAAAAAUUCAAAUGUCUGCUAAAGCGUCCAAGUUUCCCGCAAACCGAGUUUAGUAUUAGGAUCACAUGAUGUGUACAGAGGUGGCACGUAAAAUCCUGCCCCCUCCAGGUCAGUCAUCGUCUCCUGUUAACAGUUCAAAUUCCCGCUAAACCGUCCAAGUUUCCCGCAAACCGAGUUUCGUACUAGGAUCACAUGAUGUGUACAGAGGUGGCACGUGAAAUCCUGCCCCCUCCAGGUCAGUCAUCGUCUCCUGUUAACAGUUCAAAUUCCCGCUAAACCGUCCAAGUUUCCCGCAAACCGAGUUUUGUACUAGGAUCACAUGAUGUGUAAAGAGGUGGCACGUGAAAUCCUGCCCCCUCCAGGUCAGUCAUCGUCUCCUGUUAACAGUUCAAAUUCCCGCUAAACCGUCCAAGUUUCCCGCAAACCGAGUUUUGUACUAGGAUCACAUGAUGUGUACAGAGGUGGCACAUGAAAUCUUGCCACUUCCAGUUACCCUAUUGUCUCCAAUUAAAGAUUCAAAUUACUGCUAAAGUUUCCAAGUUUCCCGCAAAGCGAG